rnacentral:rRNA from 1 species
GAUGAACGCUGACAGAAUGCUUAACACAUGCAAGUCCACUUGAAUUUGGGUUUUUAACUUAGGUUUGGGUGGCGGACGGGUGAGUAACGCGUAAAGAACUUGCCUCACAGCUAGGGACAACAUUUGGAAACGAAUGCUAAUACCUAAUCUUAUAAUAAUCGGGCAUCCUAUAAUUAUGAAAGCUAUAAUCGCUGUGAGAGAGCUUUGCGUCCCAUUAGCUAGUUGGAGAGGUAACGCCUCACCAAGGCGAUGAUGGGUAGCCGGCCUGAGAGGGUGAUCGGCCACAAGGGGACGGAGACACGGCCCUUCCUCCGACGGGAGGAAGGAGGGGGGAAGAAUGAACAAUGGACCGAGAGUCUGAUCCAGCAAUUCUGUGUGCACGAUGAAGUUUUUCGGAAUGUAAAGUGCUUUCAGUUGGGAAGAAACAAAUGACGGUACCAACAGAAGAAGUGACGGCUAAAUACGUG